rnacentral:rRNA from 1 species
GAUGAACGCUGGCGGCGUGCCUAAUACAUGCAAGUCGAGCGAACAUACGUGAGUGCUUGCACUCUCUGACGUUAGCGGCGGACGGGUGAGUAACACGUUGGUAACCUACCUAUAAUACUGUGAUAACUUCGGGAAACCGGCGCUAUUAUCUGUUAAUCUUUAGCUUCGCAUGUUGCAAUAUUGAAAGACGGUUCUUCUGUCCCUUAUAGAUGGACCCGCUGUGUAUUAGCUAGUUGGGGAGGUAACGGCUCAUCAAGGCAACGAUACAUAGCCGACCUGAGAGGAGGAUGGGCCACACUGGGACUGAAAUGAGGCACAGACCACAACGGGAGGCAAGGGAAGAGAAAGUUACGUAAUGGAAGGAAGUCAAACGGAGAAAUGCCGCGUGAGUGAAGAAGGGAUUCGGAUAUGAAAACUCUGUUGUAAGGGAAGAACGAGUACGUUAGUAACUGAACGUAGCUUGAAGGUACCUUACCAGAAAGCCACGGCUAACUACGUG